UACAGAGGUCUCAAGCGUUGUUCGGAUUCAUUGGGCGUAAAGGGUGCGUAGGCGGCGCGGUAAGUCGGGUGUGAAAUUUCGGAGCUUAACUCCGAAACUGCAUUCGAUACUGGCGUGCUUGAGGACUGGAGAGGAGACUGGAAUUCAUGGUGUAGCGGUGAAAUGCGUAGAGAUCAGCAGGAACACCCGUGGCGAAGGCGGCUUCCUGGGCCGCGCCUGACGCUGAGACGCGAAAGCGUGGGGAGCGAACGGG
rnacentral:rRNA from 1 species